CAGGCCUGCUGGACCUGGGACAGGUGGAAGAGCCUAAGCAAGGGGAAGGCCGGGGUGCAAAAUCAGGCCUGCUGGACCUAGGACAGGUGGAAGAGCCUGUUGUUCCCUUGUAGCUGGGAUAACUGGAUCUCUGAUGGGGAGAAAGGGCUGCCACUUCUUGUGGCAUUAUGGAAGAGGAAAUGAGCUGGGUUCAAAUCCCGCCUGUCAGCUGCUCUCUGACCCCGGAGGGCUCCGCUUCCCUAGUGGCUGUGAGACUUGGGCCAUCUCGGACACAAAGACUUUCAGGGUGACCAGGAACAGACACCUGCAGUCUGGACCAAGAGGGGCAGCCAGCCUCGAAGCCCGACAGUGGCACGGAACUUCCCUCCAGCCCUUCUUAUGAGAGAGAGGCUCACUUGAAAGAAAAGUAAGAACACCUGCUGAAUUGGCUCUGAGCAAAACUAAUGGCCGUCGUGUAGCCACCAAACACAGGGGCCCUCUGGCCAGCACCCGCCCAUCUCCCUUCCUCACAGGCCAGCAGAAUCAGCAGCUCAGCCUCCCUGGGAGGACAGAACUGGGCCUCUGCCAGCAAAAGCAAUGCUGUAGUUCCACGGUAUGUUGAAAGUUAACUCCUGAGGACUUUGCUAGCCAGAUUAAGCUAAUGGAUGAAGCCAGAUUUAAGGUUAUACUCCAGAGGAAUUAACCUGUUGUAGCUGAAGCAAGAAAGGAAGCAACCUCUGCUCAGUUAGUAUGGACCUUAAAAAGAAAGGACAGUGCCGGCUCUGAAGUCAGGAGGACCGAGUUCAAAUGUGGCCUCAGUCACCUAAUACUUCCUGGCUGUGUGACUCUGAGAGAAAGAAAGAAAGAAA